rnacentral:rRNA from 1 species
UACGGAGGAUCCAAGCGUUAUCCGGAAUUACUGGGCGUAAAGAGUUGCGUAGGUGGCAGGGUAAGUAGAUAGUGAAAGCGUGUGGCUCAACCAUACAUCCAUUAUCUAAACUACUCAGCUAGAGGACGAGAGAGGUUAUUGGAAUUCCCAGUGUAGGAGUGAAAUCCGUAGAUAUUGGGAGGAACACCGAUGGCGUAGGCAGAUAACUGGCUCGUUCCUGACACUAAGGCACGAAAGCGUGGGGAGCAAACGGG